ensembl:lncRNA
ACGUCAUAGUUUAGUAUGUCGUCCAAAAUGUGGAAAAAAACGUCAUAGUUUAGUAUGUCGUCCAAAAUGUGGAAAAAAAGUCAUAGUUUAGCAUGUCGUCCAAAAUGUGGAAAAAAAGCUCAUAGUUUAGCAUGUCGUCCAAAAUGUGGAAAAAAACGUCAUAGUUUAGUAUGUCGACCAAAAUGUGGAAAAAAAGGUCAUAGUUUAGUAUGUCGUCCAAAAUUGCGAAAAAACGUCAUAGUUUAGUAUGUCGUCCAAAAUUGUGAAAAAACGUCAUAGUUUAGUAUGUCGUCCAAAAUGUGGAAAAAAACGUCAUAGUUUAGUAUGUCGUCCAAAAUGUGGAAAAAAACGUCAUAGUUUAGUAUGUCGUCCAAAAUGUGGAAAAAAAGGUCAUAGUUUAGUAUGUCGUCCAAAAUGUGGAAAAAAACGUCAUAGUUUAGUAUGUCGUCCAAAAUGUGG